rnacentral:rRNA from 1 species
CGCCAGGGAACUACGAGCUAAGCUUAAAACCCAAAGGACUUGACGGUACCCCAUAUCCACCUAGAGGAGCCUGUCCUAUAAUCGAUAACCCCCGCCUAACCUCACCAUUUCUAGCUAUAUCAGCCUGUAUACCUCCGUCGUCAGCUUACCCCGUGAGUGGAAUUUAGUGAGCUUAAUGUCUUUACAUCAACACGUCAGGUCAAGGUGCAGUAAAUGAAAUGGGAAGAGAUGGGCUACACUCUCUAACUUAGAAUAUACGAAAGACUAUAUAUGAAAUUCUAGUCAGAAGGCGGAUUUAGUAGUAAAAAGAGACCAUAGAGCUCUUUUUAACACGGCACUGGGGUGUGUACACACCGCCCGUCACCCU